rnacentral:rRNA from 1 species
CUACGGGUCGCUGCAGUGAGGAAUAUUGCACAAUGGGGGGAACCCUGAUGCAGCAACGCCGCGUGGAGGAUGACGCAUUUCGGUGUGUAAACUCCUUUUAUAUGUCAAGAAAAUGACGGUAGCAUAUGAAUAAGCACUGGCUAACUCCGUGCCAGCAGCCGCGGUAAUACGGAGGGUGCAAGCGUUACUCGGAGUCACUGGGCGUAAAGGACGCGUAGGCGGGUUGGAAAGUCAGGUGUGAAAUCCUACAGCUUAACUGUAGAACUGCACUUGAAACUUCUAAUCUAGAGUAUGGGAGGGGGAGAUGGAAUUAGUGGUGUAGGGGUAAAAUCCGUAGAUAUCACUAGGAAUACCUAAAGCGAAGGCGAUCUCCUGGAACAUUACUGACGCUAAGGCGUGAAAGCGUGGGGAGCAAACAGGAUUAGAUACCCCCGUAGUC